CGCGAUACAGGGUGACAGCCCCGUACACAAAAAUGCACAUGCUGUGAGCUCGAUGAGUAGGGCGGGACACGUGGUAUCCUGUCUGAAUAUGGGGGGACCAUCCUCCAAGGCUAAAUACUCCUGACUGACCGAUAGUGAACCAGUACCGUGAGGGAAAGGCGAAAAGAACCCCGGCGAGGGGAGUGAAAAAGAACCUGAAACCGUGUACGUACAAGCAGUGGGAGCCUCUUAAUGGGGUGACUGCGUACCUUUUGUAUAAUGGGUCAGCGACUUAUAUUCUGUAGCAAGGUUAACCGAAUAGGGGAGCCGAAGGGAAACCGAGUCUUAACUGGGCGUUAAGUUGCAGGGUAUAGACCCGAAACCCGGUGAUCUAGCCAUGGGCAGGUUGAAGGUUGGGUAACACUAACUGGAGGACCGAACCGACUAAUGUUGAAAAAUUAGCGGAUGACUUGUGGCUGGGGGUGAAAGGCCAAUCAAACCGGGAGAUAGCUGGUUCUCCCCGAAAGCUAUUUAGGUAGCGCCUCGUGAAUUCAUCUCCGGGGGUAGAGCACUGUUUCGGCAAGGGGGUCAUCCCGACUUACCAACCCGAUGCAAACUGCGAAUACCGGAGAAUGUUAUCACGGGAGACACACGGCGGGUGCUAACGUCCGUCGUGAAGAGGGAAACAACCCAGACCGCCAGCUAAGGUCCCAAAGUCAUGGUUAAGUGGGAAACGAUGUGGGAAGGCCCAGACAGCCAGGAUGUUGGCUUAGAAGCAGCCAUCAUUUAAAGAAAGCGUAAUAGCUCACUGGUCGAGUCGGCCUGCGCGGAAGAUGUAACGGGGCUAAACCAUG
rnacentral:rRNA from 1 species